GACGAACGCUGGCGGCGUGCUUAACACAUGCAAGUCGAACGGAAAGGCCCUGCUUUUGUGGGGUGCUCGAGUGGCGAACGGGUGAGUAACACGUGAGUAACCUGCCCUUGACUUUGGGAUAACUUCAGGUAACUGGGGCUAAUACCGGAUAGGAGCUCCUGCUGCAUGGUGGGGGUUGGAAAGUUUCGGCGGUUGGGGAUGGACUCGCGGCUUAUCAGCUUGUUGGUGGGGUAGUGGCUUACCAAGGCUUUGACGGGUAGCCGGCCUGAGAGGGUGACCGGCCACAUUGGGACUGAGAUACGGCCCAGACUCCUACGGGAGGCAGCAGUGGGGAAUAUUGCACAAUGGGCGGAAGCCUGAUGCAGCAACGCCGCGUGCGGGAUGACGGCCUUCGGGUUGUAAACCGCUUUCGCCCGUGACGAAGCGUGAGUGACGGUAAUGGGUAAAGAAGCACCGGCUAACUACGUG
rnacentral:rRNA from 1 species